GAUGAACGCUGGCGGCGUGCUUAACACAUGCAAGUCGAACGAAGCACUUUUACAGAUUUCUUCGGAAUGAAGUUUUAGUGACUGAGUGGCGGACGGGAGAGUAACGCGUGGGUAACCUGCCUCACACAGGGGGAUAACAGUUGGAAACGGCUGCUAAUACCGAAUAAGCGCACAGUACUGCAUGGUACGGUGUGAAAAACUCCGGUGGUGGGAGAUGGACCCGCGUCUGAUUAGCUAGUUGGCAGGGCAACGGCCUACCAAGGCGACGAUCAGUAGCCGACCUGAGAGGGUGACCGGCCUCAUUGGGACUGAGACACGGCCCAAACUCCUACGGGAGGCAGCAGUGGGGAAUAUUGCACAAUGGGGGAAACCCUGAUGCAGCGACGCCGCGUGAGCGAAGAAGUAUUUCGGUAUGUAAAGCUCUAUCAGCAGGGAAGAAGAAAUGACGGUACCUGACUAAGAAGCACCGGCUAAAUACGUGCCAGCAGCCGCCGUAA
rnacentral:rRNA from 1 species